rnacentral:rRNA from 1 species
CCUACGGGCGGCAGCAGUGAGGAAUAUUGGUCAAUGGGCUUACGCCUGAACCAGCCAAGUCGCGUGAGGGAAGACUGCCCUAUGGGUUGUAAACCUCUUUUGUCAGGGAGCAAUUGGCGCUACGUGUAGCGUUAUCGAGAGUACCUGAAGAAAAAGCAUCGGCUAACUCCGUGCCAGCAGCCGCGGUAAUACGGAGGAUGCGAGCGUUAUCCGGAUUUAUUGGGUUUAAAGGGUGCGUAGGCGGAAUGCCAAGUCAGCGGUAAAAUCGCGGGGCUCAACCUCGCUCCGCCGUUGAAACUGGCGGUCUUGAGUGGGCGAGAAGUAUGCGGAAUGCGUGGUGUAGCGGUGAAAGGCAGAGAUAUCACGCAGAACUCCGAUUGCGAAGGCAGCAUACCGGCGCCCAACUGACGCUGAAGCACGAAAGCGUGGGUAUCGAACAGGAUUAGAUACCCCGGUAGUC